AGAAAUGCAUUAUUCAUUAGCAUUAGUCGGUUAAUUCUUGAUCCUUGGUGCAAAAACGUCAUGUUGUGUGGCCUGACGAUGCCGUUACAUCAAAAAGCAUGUAGGACAGUGAUACAGUAACUUAAGACGUGUUUUGUGGCUGGUCGGUGCGGUAACAACCUAGCUAAGAUCUAGUUCAGACACCUUGUUGGAGAUUAAAUGACAGCAGGCCUGGAUAUUUGCAGGGCCGUGGGGAUAUCUCUCCCCAGCUUCCAGGAGCAGGUGCAGAUUUAAACUGGAGACGGCGCAGGACCCCCCUGCUCAAGGACACUUCAGCUAAGUAACAUUAGAUGCUGGCUGCCAAAAACACAGCAAAAUGCACACUAAACACGUCGAUAUAACGCCAGGGA